GCUGAUAUGGCCGAGUCGUUAAGGCGAGUGAUUUGAAUCGGGUGUCACGUGACAUCACGUGAGUCAAAUAUCACUUGGGCAUUGCCCGCGUAGGUUCAAAUCCUGCUGUCAGCG